rnacentral:misc_RNA from 1 species
UUAUUUAUUAUUCAGAGUUUCUUUGUUAGUUUUAACUCUUUUUGAAUCCAUAUGAAGUCAGCAUUGUGCUAUAUCUAACACCUGGGGUAAUUAUUAUGUUUUGUUAUGUAGAUGCCAUUGUGAUAUUGUUAACUGUUUCAGACUGUUUUCAGUACAUUUUAAAUUAACUAGGUAUUUUCAGUAAUGCUUUAUUAAAGUAUUUUACACAG